ensembl:lncRNA
AUUCCUCCAACUGCUUUUAGAUGUUGGUGGUGGAAUCUGCUCACUCUAACUUAAUCCCUGGUACUUCUCACUAUGCUGUCAGUUGACAGGCAAAUCACGGUGGUGGAGCUGAAAGCAGCAUGAGGAAAGGAGAAUGUGCCCAAUUCAACAAUCUUAAUUUAAGCCUCUGAAGUUUCUCAAAUCAAAUGAAGGACAGGAUCAAGAAGCAAGAGCUAACUUUGGCUGAUGCUUGAUAUGUGCCAUAUGGUGCUAGGACAUCUUGUAUAUAUUAUCACAUUCAAUCCUCAUGUAAUCCUACAGAAUAGGAUCUACACAUACCUAUAAAAGACAUAGAGAAUACAAAGACAAAUAAGCCUGGACCUUCUGUCAUGAAACUCACAGUCUAAAGAUCCACGUGACUUUACCACACCUGGCCUCAGGACAGCACGAGCAUUCUAUCCCAUCAAAAUUAUUCUGCUCCACUGGCUGUGAAGGAGAAGGAGAGAUGCAUGUUCCAGGACAUUGGCUCAGACAGGCCUACUGAGUGACUCUAAAGACUUGUAGACACCAAAAGGGUUUUUAAGAAUAAUCAUCAUAAUAUAGUAAUGAAUCAAAAACAAGCAGACAUGUGCUUAAAUGAGCCGGAGGGACUGGAGUUAAAAGAAGGAAGGGGCUGUUCAGAUUCGGGGGUCUAGCAGAAUGGACUUGGUUGAGAAAAUCCAGCAAGACAACUGAAGAGGACUCUUGGGAUUACCCCACCAGAACUUCUGAGGCAAGUCUAAUGAAAUGACUUACAAGUGUUAACUGUAGAGUAGCCUCU